CCCUUAGAUGUUCUGGGCUGCACACGUGCUACACUGGCAGGUUCAGCGAGCUUCACGCCCUGAUCUGAAAGGAAUGGGAAAUCUUUUCAAAACCUGCCGUGCUUGGGAUAGAUGUUUGCAAUUAUUCAUCUUCAACGAGGAUUGCCUUGUAAGCGCACGUCAUCAGCGUGCAUUGAAUACGACCCUGUAUUCUGUACACACCGCCCGUCGCUCCUACCGAUUGAAGUUUUCGGUGAGUUGACAGGAGGAUUUUUUUGAAACUGGUUCGCCAGUGGAUUUUAGAUCCAAAUGCCAACGAAUCGAUGGCUUUAGAGGAAGGAGAAGUCGUAACA
rnacentral:rRNA from 1 species